AAGGUUUUCGGAUCGUAAAACUCUGUUGUUAGAGAAGAACAAGGAUGAGAGUAGAACGUUCAUCCCUUGACGGUAUCUAACCAGAAAGCCACGGCUAACUACGUGCCAGCAGCCGCGGUAAUACGUAGGUGGCAAGCGUUGUCCGGAUUUAUUGGGCGUAAAGCGAGCGCAGGCGGUUUCUUAAGUCUGAUGUGAAAGCCCCCGGCUCAACCGGGGAGGGUCAUUGGAAACUGGGAGACUUGAGUGCAGAAGAGGAGAGUGGAAUUCCAUGUGUAGCGGUGAAAUGCGUAGAUAUAUGGAGGAACACCAGUGGCGAAGGCGGCUCUCUGGUCUGUAACUGACGCUGAGGCUCGAAAGCGUGGGGAGCGAACAGGAUUAGAUACCCUGGUAGUCCACGCCGUAAACGAUGAGUGCUAAGUGUUGGAGGGUUUCCGCCCUUCAGUGCUGCAGCAAACGCAUUAAGCACUCCGCCUGGGGAGUACGACCGCAAGGUUGAAACUCAAAGGAAUUGACGGGGGCCCGCACAAGCGGUGGAGCAUGUGGUUUAAUUCGAAGCAACGCGAAGAACCUUACCAGGUCUUGACAUCCUUUGACCACUCUAGAGAUAGAGCUUCCCCUUCGGGGGCAAAGUGACAGGUGGUGCAUGGUUGUCGUCAGCUCGUGUCGUGAGAUGUUGGGUUAAGUCCCGCAACGAGCGCAACCCUUAUUGUUAGUUGCCAUCAUUUAGUUGGGCACUCUAGCGAGACUGCCGGUGACAAACCGGAGGAAGGUGGGGGAUGACGUCAAAUCAUCAUGCCCCUUAUGACCUGGGCUACACACGUGCUACAAUGGGAAGUACAACGAGUUGCGAAGUCGCGAGGCUAAGCUAAUCUCUUAAAGCUUCUCUCAGUUCGGAUUGUAGGCUGCAACUCGCCUACAUGAAGCCGGAAUCGCUAGUAAUCGCGGAUCAGCACGCCGCGGUGAAUACGUUCCCGGGCCUUGUACACACCGCCCGUCACACCACGAGAGUUUGUAACACCCGAAGUCGGUGAGGUAACCUUUUUGGAGCCAGCCGCCUAAGGUGGGAUAGAUGAUUGGGGUGAAGUCGUAACAAGGUAGCCGUAUCGGAAGGUGCGGCU
rnacentral:rRNA from 1 species